ACCACAACACCAGCUGCACAUGCAACCGUUCAAACAGAAGCCUCGGCUCAGAGGUCCCAGGAGAAACACGCCAUGUACUUGAUGAUGGGUUUAGUGAUGUGCUGCUGAGAGAGUUGGAACAUAUCCAAUGCUCUGUCUGUGGAGCCUCAGCCCCUCUGGUUGGGCCUGUUGGAAGUCUCUCCUGUGACGGACACAUCGGGGAUGACAUCACUGAGCUGGUUGGCUCAUGCUCUUCGUACAUGGUAUCCGGCCUUUCCUCUCCUCUGAGGACACUGAGCGGUCCUCUGUGGAGGUGCUGCUCAGCCUCUCGCAUGAGGAGCUCCAGCUGAGCCGUGACGUUGUGGACCAGCUCCAUGGCCUGAGUGCUGUUGGCCUCUCACCAGUCCCUCUUGACUCCUCGUUUCUCCUUUCUGUGGAGCUCUUCUGGCUUCAUUCCUCUCACUCUGGCUCUUUCACACUGAUUUAUAUCAGCUUGGAUAUGAAAAGUAUGGAUUAUUAGGGUCCGAGCGACAGACGAAGUCUGUCCGAGAGGACCCUAUUGAAAUUGUUAGGGUUCUUAUUAUUCCGCUUUUUAUUUUUCUUCUUUGACCGCAUAUUGGGGGUACGCAUCAUAUCCCAAAACUCACCAAAUUUGGCAAGCUUGUCAAGAUUGGUGAAACUAGACGUUGGACACAGACUUCGAAAUUCGGCUUUAAAAAAUUGCUCUCUAGCGCCACCUCAAAGUUUGACCGGCGACGCCCCUCACCUGCUCUACAAAAAAGCCUUUCAGGACCCUAAGCUCCGCCUACUUAAAUUUUCCGCCAUUUUGAAUUUUGUGAAAAACACAUCAGAUGCGUUAGCUCCAACAUGUGGCGUCCAAUUCAUACCAAACCUAUUGGAGAUAAUGAUUAUGGAAGCUAUAUCAUCUAACCUAUGUCAUCCUUUUUCAAAUAUAUCAUUGUGGUAAGCAUCUAUGGCCCAACGAACAUUUUAGGGGCGUGUCUUGUUUUGUAAUGCUCAUAACUUCAACACUAUUGGGGGGGAAAAAAAUAACAGACUUUCAGGAUAUGUGCAGAAUGCAUCCUGAAACAUACACAGCCAAUUUCAUGCAAUUUGAACCGUAGGGGGUGCUACAAUAAUUCACCAAAGUUGGCCGUUUUUUUGGCGUUUUUUGCUUGAUUUUGCCAUUUUUUACUUCUAUACAUUUAAGGAUUUCUCCCACAAAACACCAACAGAAUCGGCUCAAAAUUAGUUUGAUAGAAUCUCAAGACUCAAACAAAGAAGACUGAGAAAAAAAACGGACUUUUCAUCGGUAGGAAAUUGACGUUUUUUUACUGCCAAGAAUUGUGUACUUUCUGUGAUUUGUUUAUGUUAAAAACUAUUGCUUAAACUCAUCCGAUCCUUCCAAUAAAAAUCAGGCAUGAUGCCAGUCAAGGCCUGAACACAUUCACACGAAGAAACAAGCACAUUUCUUCCAGGAACACCUAGUGAACACCUAUUGAAAAGCAGUGGCGGGCCUGGGGCCUGGGCCUUCAGUAAGGUCCUACACAGUCCCACCCGAAUUAAUCCACCUCUUAUUACUAUCAUUAUGAUGCCAUGGCUCUAGACCAGGGCUGCUCAAUAAGUCGAUCGCGACCUACCGGUCGAUCGCGGCGUAGUAUUGGUAGAUCGCAUGACACUAAAAAAAAUUGGCCCACGCCCGUCAUUUUCUCUAUAGCACGUCUUUGUUCAUUUAUUAAACUAAACAGCCGUCUGAUGUUGAUCGUAUCUACACAACAGCAUGUCAUUUCUCUCGGCUCUCCGUCUCGCGCGCUGCAGAAUGCGCGCAUCGGGACGGAGAAAAAGAAGAAAAAAAGUCCUCCUUACGAUGUCUAACUUUUCUUGAAAAGUUUGUCUUGAGAAAGGCGUUAAAAGUAUAUGCUCGACCAAAUCGACAUCUUCUCCUCCUUCCGCCAUUGUGGGUUGAAAAAACAGCUUUAUAGUCCGCGAAUUAAUUCCUUUAUCAAAUUCAGUUUCCUAGUUCUGAGGUUCUGCAUAUACCUGCCCAUAGGUCCCGCCUCUCAAUAUUGGUAAUCCAAUCAAAAGACGUGCACGCCCUCCGCCUGCUAGCUGCUCCUGUGCCGGUUCCGGGGCCUUCUAGAAGGCCUACAGGAGCCAAAUCUAAAGCUGAUUGGUUGACACAACAUUGUCAUUCCCAUUCACUUGAAGCUACCAGCGCCCGCAAUGUUGAUUCUGAAGGCCUAAGGGCAGAUUUUAGCCCCCUGGCAACACACGAUGGCUGAAUAUGAUUGGAUAAAAGAUCUAACAUAAAGACCAGCCCUCCAAAUCUCAACCUGGGGCUGGCAGCAGCGCAACCAAGAGGAACGCUAUGAAAUUAAGAGAAUAACUCUUACUCUGGGAAAUAAUUGAAUACAUAUUUAUGGGAAAAUAUAUUUAGAAAAAAAUAUAUAUUCUGAUGAUGUUUAGGCCAGCAGAGAAGGCCUUGCUGGCCCUGACGGCCCGCCACUGUUGAAAAGUAAAAUAACCAUAAUUUAUUCACUUUCACGAUAAUGUUACCCCCUACAGCUGAUGCAAUUACAUCUAAUCAGUGGUGCAGAGCAAUAGGUGCUUGUCUAGUGACACAGAGACCUGUUUUUGAUUCCAGGCUAUGGCAAAAAUAAUGUUAUCUGGGUUUUUUCUACACUUCACUUAGAGACAUAUGAUGCAUGGAUAUGUUCACAGACUCAAAGCGCCACCUAGUGGCUCAACUGGACUUCCUUCAGUCCGCCCCAAAUUUGUUCUGCCCAAAAUAAUGUGAGCGUCUAUGGCUGCCUGUAAUCCAGUUAGUUCUAUAGCUCACCAUGAUAAGUGUUGGACUGGACACUCGGAGAUGUGUGAUCAAUUCCAAGACAAGGCAGCUUUUUUUCAUCACUCUUUUUUUUUACAUUGAAUUUACAUGACUUAGGCUGUGUCUACUACCGCGCACUUAACGAAGUACACUGCAAUGCAGUACACUGCAAUUCAGUGCACUGCAUUGCAGUGUACUGCGUCGCUGAUGAAGUGCUGUCUCAAAUGGAACACUUAACCGUUCACCACUUGGCGGAAGUGACGGACGCAAAUCUGUUCACGGCACCCGCGAAAUUAAGCCGGGAGUGACGUAUGCAAAUCUGCUUGCGAUACCCUAACCCUUAAAGUGACCAAAUGAAUGCACUUCUUGCCCUCUUGUUGCCCCUUGUUUACCUUUCUCCACCCCAUGUGGAAACUGCGAUACCUCCACAAUCGCGGCAGGAGCCUCCGCCUUCUGGCUGAAGUCGAGAUGCAGCCACCCAGUCCCAGGCGGCGCUGCCGUAUCAAUGUUGCAAUGCCACUGCUGGCGUUGUGUUGUGAUGGCCACAGUGACAUGAGGGUGGACUUCAGGCUCACCAGAGUCAUUCAACGCCCUCAUGGCUGUGCUGGGCACUGACUGACCACGGUUGGGGCCCCGAGAUCUCCCGUCUAGUGUUUAUUUUUUGGCUUGCCAGCGCCACCUCCUAUCGGGUGGUGGCCAGGGCCUUCGACAGGCCCCGGGCUCAGUGCAUGAUGCCAGGGUCCUGAAUAACAGCCCCAUCUUCUAUGAGCAGUCAUCCCCUCCACCAGGAUACUGUAUCCUUGGGGAUGGUGGCUCCCCCUGCCUGUCCCAACCCAUCUGCCUCAUGACCCCCUUCAGGCAGCCUGUCCGCAACCACCUCCAAGCUACAACUGCUGCCUGUCAAAGGCGAGGUGUGUUGUGGAGAGGUCCUUCGGGAUACUGAAGACGCGAUGGCGGUCCAUCUUCUUAAAGGCCCUGGAGGUGGAUGUGAGGUGCCAGAGGUCAUUGGAGCCAGAUGUCGGGAGGGCAGCAGAGGACCAGCACCAGCACCUCCAGGAAACGUCUCUGGGGCAGGAAACAGAAAUAGGAUAGCCAUUCAGUGCUCUGUCCCAGACCACGAUUACAUUUAAAUUAAUACAUACACGACAUUAAAAAAACAACACACGA